UACGGGGGGGGCAAGCGUUGUUCGGAAUUACUGGGCGUAAAGGGUCCGUAGGUGGCCAACUAAGUCAGACGUGAAAUCCCUCAGCUUAACUGGGGAACUGCGUCUGAGACUGGAUGGCUCGAGUGCAGGAGAGGAAUGCGGAAUUCCAGGUGUAGCGGUGAAAUGCGUAGAGCUCGGGAAGAACAUCGGUGGCGAAAGCGCUCUGCUGGACUGCAACUGACACUCAGGGACGAAAGCUAGGGGAGCGAAUGGG
rnacentral:rRNA from 1 species